rnacentral:lncRNA from 1 species
ACAAAUAGUGACUUUUAACAGCUUUGGUCUUUUGAUGAUACCAGAGACUCACUUCUUUCUUGUGAAUGAAUGCUUUGUGAAAAGUCAGGAAUCUGUUGAGGUGGCCAGCACUUCUCCUUUCAGGGUGAUGAUGGUAUUUGUUAUUCUUCUCAUUGCUGUGACAACAUAUUCAACUAAAUCAACUUAUCCAUGGUUUGUUUGUAGUGGCCAGGUAGGACACCGGACUCAUGGAGGAGGGGAAGGCAGGGCAGUCAGAGCAGCUCUGGCUAUGGUGACAGGAGCCUGAGGCAGCUUCCUUCUGGUUCUCUCUGACUGCUCUGAAUUUCUGUUACAAGAUGUGAUCUUGCAGCUUUUCGUCCUGCUUUGAUACUUCCUAGCCAUGAUGAAGUCUUCUCCCUCUGGAACUAGAUAUGACAAAUUGUCCUGUAAUUAUCCAUCCCUUACAAGAUAUUCAUAGCUACCUGUGGGCUAUUUAAAGCCACACAGAAUCUGGAUCAUCUUCGUCUUCCUCCAUCUUCCUUCCUUCCUCUGUGAAUUUAAACUUUUACAAUCAAUGGUUGCACUCAAUGGUCUCAACACAACAUUGGUUGAAUGUAUA